rnacentral:rRNA from 1 species
AUUGAACGCUGGCGGCAGGCCUAACACAUGCAAGUCGAGCGGAUGAAGGGAGCUUGCUCCUGGAUUCAGCGGCGGACGGGUGAGUAAUGCCUAGGAAUCUUCCUGGUAGUGGGGGAUAACGUCCGGAAACGGGCGCUAAUACCGCAUACGUCCUGAGGGAGAAAGUGGGGGAUCUUCGGACCUCACGCUAUCAGAUGAGCCUAGGUCGGAUUAGCUAGUUGGUUGGGUAAAGGCCUACCAAGGCGACGAUCCGUAACUGGUCUGAGAGGAUGAUCAGUCACACUGGAACUGAGACACGGUCCAGACUCCUACGGGAGGCAGCAGUGGGGAAUAUUGGACAAUGGGCGAAAGCCUGAUCCAGCCAUGCCGCGUGUGUGAAGAAGGUCUUCGGAUUGUAAAGCACUUUAAGUUGGGAGGAAGGGCAGUAAGUUAAUACCUUGCUGUUUUGACGUUACCAACAGAAUAAGCACCGGCUAACUUCGUG